rnacentral:rRNA from 1 species
GACGAACGCUGGCGGCGUGCUUAACACAUGCAAGUCGAACGGUGAAGCGCCUUCCUCUUUGGUGGGUGUGGAUGAGUGGCGAACGGGUGAGUAACACGUGAGUAACCUGCCCCCUUCUUCUGGAUAACCGCAUGAAAGUGUGGCUAAUACGGGAUAUUCUGGGUCUGUCGCAUGAUGGGUCUGGGAAAGAUAUUGUUUCGGUGGGGGAUGGGCUCGCGGCCUAUCAGCUUGUUGGUGGGGUGAUGGCCUACCAAGGCGGUGACGGGUAGCCGGCCUGGGAGGGUGGACGGUCACAAUGGGACUAAGACACGGCCCAGACUCCUACAGGAGGCAGCAGUGGGGAAUAUUGCACAAUGGGCGCAAGCAUGAUGCAGCGACGCCGCGUGAGGGAUGGAGGCCUUCGGGUUGUGAACCUCUUUCGCCAGUGAAGCAGGCCUGCCUCGUUUGUGGGUGGGUUGACGGUAGCUGGAUAAGAAGCGCCGGCUAACUACGUG